AGUCGAGCGAAUGAGAAGAGCUUGCUCUUCGAUUCAGCGGCGGACGGGUGAGUAAUGCCUAGGAAUCUGCCUGGUAGUGGGGGACAACGUUUCGAAAGGAACGCUAAUACCGCAUACGUCCUACGGGAGAAAGCAGGGGACCUUCGGGCCUUGCGCUAUCAGAUGAGCCUAGGUCGGAUUAGCUAGUUGGUGAGGUAAUGGCUCACCAAGGCGACGAUCCGUAACUGGUCUGAGAGGAUGAUCAGUCACACUGGAACUGAGACACGGUCCAGACUCCUACGGGAGGCAGCAGUGGGGAAUAUUGGACAAUGGGCGAAAGCCUGAUCCAGCCAUGCCGCGUGUGUGAAGAAGGUCCUCGGAUUGUAAAGCACUUUAAGUUGGGAGGAAGGGCAUUAACCUAAUACGUUAGUGUUUUGACGUUACCGACAGAAUAAGCACCGGCUAACUCUGUGCCAGCAGCCGCGGUAAUACAGAGGGUGCAAGCGUUAAUCGGAAUUACUGGGCGUAAAGCGCGCGUAGGUGGUUUGUUAAGUUGAAUGUGAAAGCCCCGGGCUCAACCUGGGAACUGCAUCCAAAACUGGCAAGCUAGAGUACGGUAGAGGGUGGUGGAAUUUCCUGUGUAGCGGUGAAAUGCGUAGAUAUAGGAAGGAACACCAGUGGCGAAGGCGACCACCUGGACUGAUACUGACACUGAGGUGCGAAAGCGUGGGGAGCAAAC
rnacentral:rRNA from 1 species